CAGCGCCGCGGGAAAACGGAGGGUGCAAGCGUUAAUCGGAAUUACUGGGCGUAAAGCGCACGCAGGCGGUCUGACAAGUCAGAUGUGAAAUCCCCGGGCUUAACCUGGGAACUGCAUUUGAAACUGUCAGGCUGGAGUCUUGUAGAGGGGGGUAGAAUUCCAGGUGUAGCGGUGAAAUGCGUAGAGAUCUGGAGGAAUACCGGUGGCGAAGGCGGCCCCCUGGACAAAGACUGACGCUCAGGUGCGAAAGCGUGGGGAGCAAACAGGAUUAGAUACCCCUGUAGUCCCUGUCUCUUAUACC
rnacentral:rRNA from 1 species